CACAAGCGGAGGCGAACUCACUUUACGUGUAAGUCAAUUAUUGUUAUUAUUAUUAUUAUUACACGGAAGAAGCAUUAAUGACAGUGGCAUAAGGCAGCGAUGUCGUCAUCAGUUCAGGGACACUUCAGGACAUACAUUACAAGGUGCUGUACAGUACGGAAGAGGUAUGCUAAAUAGCCCAGGACCAGGCCGUCGUCCCAUGCCUCCUCAUUCUAAUCAUUCUAAUUUACGAUCGUCAUCUUUAUCUUCGCGAGACGGUGCACCUGCCAGAUAUAAUUCCCAAUGGCUUGCCUAUAAACGCUUGCUUGUUAAUGGCUGAAUAAAUUGCCUAUCGUUUGAGACUAA